rnacentral:rRNA from 1 species
AGUGAACGCUGGCGGUAGGCCUAACACAUGCAAGUCGAACGGCAGCACAGUAAGAGCUUGCUCUUACGGGUGGCGAGUGGAGGACGGGUGAGGAAUACAUCGGAAUCUACUUUUUCGUGGGGGGUAACGUAGGGCAACUAACGCUAAUACAUCAUACGACCUACGGGUGAAAGCAGGGGAUCUUCGGACCUUGCGCGGAUGAGUGAGCCGAUGUCGGAUUAGCUGGUUGGCGGGGUAAAGGCCCAUCAAGGCGACGAUCCGUUGCUGGUGUGAGAGGGUGAAGCCGGCCACUGGGACUGAGAGGCGGUCCUGGGUCCGACGUGCGGCCCAGGUUGGUAAUAGUGGACGAAGUGCGGAAGCCUGAUCCAGCGGUACCGGGUGGGUGAAGAAGGGCCUCGGGUUGUAAAGCCCUUUUGUUGGUAAAGAAAAGCAUCAGGUUGAUACCCCGCUGUUCUGACGGUACCUAAAGAAUAAGCACCGGCUAACUUCGUG